rnacentral:rRNA from 1 species
GAUGAACGCUGGCGGCGUGCCUAAUACAUGCAAGUAGAACGCUGAAGGAGGAGCUUGCUCUUCUGGAUGAGUUGCGAACGGGUGAGUAACGCGUAGGUAACCUGCCUGGUAGCGGGGGAUAACUAUUGGAAACGAUAGCUAAUACCGCAUGACAACAGUUAUUGCAUGAUAACUGUUUAAAAGGGGCAACUGCUCCACUACCAGAUGGACCUGCGUUGUAUUAGCUAGUUGGUGAGGUAACGGCUCACCAAGGCGACGAUACAUAGCCGACCUGAGAGGGGGAUCGGCCACACUGGGACUGAGACACGGCCCAGACUCCUACGGGAGGGAGCAGUAGGGAAUCUUCAGCAAUGGACGGAAGUCUGACCGAGCAACGCCGCGUGAGUGAAGAAGGUUUUCGGAUCGUAAAGCUCUGUUGUAAGAGAAGAACGAGUGUGAGAGUGGAAAGUUCACACUGUGACGGUAUCUUACCAGAAAGGGACGGCUAACUACGUG